rnacentral:lncRNA from 1 species
AAAAAUGGUACAAAGUGAAAAUCAAAAUAUAACUUGAAAAGCUUAGGAAAAUAUGUAUUCGCAAAUUGUGUGUAUCUCAUUCGUUGGAGUUGCUCUAUCUAGUCUUGUCGAUAAUGAUGCUAGCAUAAUACGAAGAAGAUGCCGGAGAAUAAAAGUAUACUUCGUGGGACCAAAUGAUUGUACAAAGUAAAUAAAACGAAUAAUGAAAAGGAUUCCUUUCAUUUUCUUCCACUAAGAUCGAAUUUCUUGGUUUCUUCCUAAAACUUCGAACUAAGCUGAGAAAUUCCAAUUGAAUAAAGGUAGAUAUAAACAAGAAAUAAAAUCAGUAAAAAUGCUUGUGGUGGUGGUGAUGAUGUCUAUGAUCAUCCCAUCUAAAGCAUUGCAACACAGGAUAACAAGCAACAAACAAGCAUCUCCCCAUCAAUCGGAAGGCGGACGAGACUGACAUACAAGGGCAGCAGCAGCAUGCCAAGAGUGGAUCAUUAUGUGGGCCACCAUCUACAUGGUGGUGGUCGUGGUCGUGAUCGUGCUUCACCAUAUCUAUAAAACCUGAUCAGAACAUGACAGUCAAUAAAAAAUUAGACCCCAAAAUAAAAAAGCAAAAAGAAAAAAUGAAUUCAUUUCUUUAAUAUGGUAUCAAAACUAGAAAAUAUUUAAGGUUUCCGAAGAUUAUUGGCUAUGUUGGGAAGUUGAAUAAAUGAAUCUGACUUGUCCGAAAACAAAACUUACCUUGUUGAAUUCCUGAAGAUCNNNN